rnacentral:lncRNA from 1 species
UGUGAAAGUACAGGUACCGAGCAGUCUUUCAUAAGUGCAUAAUUAACUAUACAUAGGAUUAGUCGCCGAGCCGUCCGUCGUUCCAGUGUUCCAGACUUUAAUUUAAUUGCCGCACUGCUGCCUCGGCUCCUCAUAUGCUUCAGUGCUUGCAGCUUGCCAUUCUUCAGAGUAGUCAAGUGAGUGCACUGUGCACGGCCACACUGGUACGAGGAAGCGGGCACAAGGGACAAGAAGAGAUCAAGAGAAGGAGCUCGAUCGGCGACACGGCUCGCCGGCGUCUGCUCGCCCUCGCGGCCUCGUCGCUCCGUCUGCUCACGGCUCGCCGGCCCAUCACCCUGCUCUGCUCGGCUGUCCGAGGUGCCGAUUCUGUCUGCAUAAUAUUCAGGUAUAUGGCUGCACUUUCUAUAAUUCUAUUUGCUGCAAUUCCUGUACUUUUUUAGCUCACCACUGUCGAACUUCAGGCAGCAACUAUGAAAAGAAAAGCAGGGCCAAACAACAUUAAGAUUAAUGCUUUUUUUAAGCCGAUUACUUCAAGUUCA